CCUACGGGUGGCAGCAGUGAGGAAUAUUGGUCAAUGGACGAGAGUCUGAACCAGCCAAGUAGCGUGAAGGAUGACUGCCCUAUGGGUUGUAAACUUCUUUUAUAAAGGAAUAAAACGAGGCACGUGUGCCUUUUUGCAUGUACUUUAUGAAUAAGGAUCGGCUAACUCCGUGCCAGCAGCCGCGGUAAUACGGAGGAUCCGAGCGUUAUCCGGAUUUAUUGGGUUUAAAGGGAGCGUAGAUGGGUUGUUAAGUCAGUUGUGAAAGUUUGCGGCUCAACCGUAAAAUUGCAAUUGAUACUGGCAGUCUAGAGUACAGUUGAGGUAAGCGGAAUUCGUGGUGUAGCGGUGAAAUGCUUAGAUAUCACGAAGAACCCCGAUUGCGAAGGCAGCUUACUAAACUGUGACUGACAUUGAUGCUCGAAAGUGUGGGUAUCAAACAGGAUUAGAUACCCUAGUAGUC
rnacentral:rRNA from 1 species